CCGCACAUGGGCGCUGUGCUCGGGGCCGCGGGUUCGAGCCGCGCUCGGCGCGUUGGCCCCGCUCGGCCCCGCUCGGCCCCGCUCCCGCCCGCCAUGGCCCGGCGCAGCGCCCUCUCCAUCCGCAUCGUGGAGGGCAAGAACCUGCCCGCCAAGGACAUCACGGGGAGCAGUGACCCCUACUGCAUCGUGAAGAUCGACGAUGAGGCCAUCAUCAGGACUGCCACAGUGUGGAAGACGCUGUCCCCGUUCUGGGGGGAGGAAUACGAGGUGCAGCUGCAGCCUGGCUUCCACAGCAUCUCCAUCUACGUCAUGGACGAGGAUGCCCUCAGCCGUGACGACAUCAUUGGGAAGGUCUGCAUCACCCGGGACAUGCUGGCAGAGCACCCCAAGGGAUACAGUGGCUGGAUGAGCCUCAGCGAGGUGGACCCUGAUGAGGAGGUGCAGGGGGAGAUCCACCUGCGGGUGGAGGUCCUGGGCAGCCAGGGCAGCCGGCGGCUGCGCUGCUCCGUGCUGGAGGCCAGGGAUCUGGCCAGGAAGGACCGGAAUGGUGCCUCUGACCCCUUUGUCCGCCUGCGCUACAACGGGAAGACACAGGAGAGCACCGUGAGUGUGGUGGCUUCAGCAUGCCCAGCCUGCCGGGGUGCAGGGGGAAUCAACCCACGGGGAAGCCCAGAGCCACCCCUGUCCCCCAGCUUGGUGUCCCUGAGGGAUAGACCCACACAGCAAGAGGGGACAAAGCUGUGGCCUUUGCAGGUGGUCAAGAAAUCCUGCUACCCUCGCUGGAACGAGACCUUCGAGUUCGAGCUGGCCGAGCCCGCCGGGGAGAAGCUCUGCGUGGAGGUGUGGGACUGGGACCUGGUGGGCAGGAACGACUUCCUGGGCAAGGUGGUGUUCAGCGUCCAGGGGCUGGAGGUGGCCGGGCAGGAGGAGGGCUGGUUCAGGCUGUGCCCAGACAAGUCCAAGCCGACAGAGGACGAGCGCCGUGGCAGCCUGGGCUCGCUGCAGCUGCAGGUGAAGCUUCGGGAUGAGACAGUGCUUCCCUCCCACUGCUACCAGCCCCUGGUGCAGCUCCUGUGCCAGGAGGUGAAGUCGGGGCGCCAGGAUGGCCAAGUGCACCUGGUCACCCUCCUGGACGAAACCACCACGGCCGAGUGCCGGCAGGAGGUCGCCAUCAACUUGGUCAAACUCUUCCUGGGCCAGGGGCUGGUCAAGGAGUUCCUGGACCUGCUCUUUGAGCUGGAGCUGGCCAAGCCCUGUGAGCCCAACACUCUGUUCCGGAGCAACUCUCUGGCCUCGAAGUCGAUGGAGUCCUUCCUCAAGGUGCCACACCACCCAAAACCUGCUCUUCCCAGCUCAUCCUGGCCCUGGGCUGUUCCCAGGGGAAGAACUGGGUGGGCUGCUGUGCUUGUGCCUUCCCCUGGGGGUGGGAGGCUGGAGAAAAUCCACUGGGUGACCCUGGGGGUGUCGGUGCCAAAUCUGUGGCCCAUCCCUGUCCCCUGUGGGGUCCCUCGGCAGGUGACAGGGAUGCCAUACCUGCACUUUGUCCUGGGCCCCACCAUCGCCCGCGUGUUCGAGGAGAAGAAAUACGUGGAGCUGGACCCCGGCAAGGUGGAGAUCAAAGACGUCGGGUGCUCGGGGCUGCACCGGGUGCAGACGGAGGGCGAGGUGAUCGAGCAGGGCCGGCAGCACCUCCAGUCCUACCUGGGCGAGCUCCUGGACGCCAUCGUCAGGUCGGCCCCGGCGUGUCCCCCGCUGAUCCGCGCCGCGUUCCGCCAGCUCUUCCAGCGCGUCGGGCAGCGCUUCCCGCAGCACCAGGUGGGGAUGGCGCGGCGACAAACGGGGACAUCCCCCGGGGACAGCGCUCUCUGGGAGCGGUCCCCAGCUGUGGUCAUUCCCUCCUGGGCGAGCAGCAGCCCCGGCCCCCGGUGCAUCGCUGCUCGUGGGGCUGUCCCACGCUGGGAGAGACCCUCACGUGUGUUCCCCACGCCCUCGGUGGUCGCAGCACGCCAAAUUUGUGGCUGUCACCAGCUUCCUGUGCCUGCGCUUCUUCUCGCCGGCCGUGAUGACGCCCAAGCUGUUCCAGCUGCGGGCCACCCACGCGGACGCGCGGACCAGCCGCACGCUGCUGCUGCUGGCCAAGGCCAUCCAGCUGGUCGGGAACAUGGAGCCGGCGGCCGGGCGAGCCAAGGAGCCGUGGCUGUCGCCGCUGCUGCCCGCCCUGCAGGAGGGCACCGCCCGCAUGCGGGACUUCAUCACCCGCCUGGUGGGCACGGAGGAGGAGCGGGGCGAGCAGGAGGGCGAGGGGCGGCCGCUGGGGCCCUGCCCGGCCGCCGUGAAGGAGGGGCUGCUCCUCGUGCACAAAACGCGGGGCAAGGGGCCGCUGCUCGCUGCUGCCGCCGGCAAGAAGCUCCAUUUCUGCCUCACCGGGGAGUCGCUGAGCUUCGCCAAGAGCCCCGGGGCGGAGCGCAUCGGUGCCAUCGCCCUGGGCGACAUCCUGGCGGCCGAGAAGGUGGAGGAGAAGAGCUUCGGCAGCUCCCACGUCAUGCAGUGUGUCAACGAGCUGAACCAGUGGCUGUCAGCCCUGCGCAAGGUGUGCGGCAACAACCCGCGGCUGCUCCGCUCCUACCACCCCGGCGUCUUCCGCGGGGACAAGUGGAGCUGCUGCCACCAGCGCGACAGGACAGGGCUGGGCUGCGACCGGACCCGGCACGGCGUCACCCUGCAGGACUGGAGUGACCCGCUGGAGCCCACGGUGGAGGCGCAGCGCCUCUUCCAGCACCUGCAGGGCCUGCGGGACACCCUGAGGGACAAGUACUGGGAGCUGCUGGAGCCGGAGCGCGCCCGGAGCGGCCAAGGCGCUGCCGUGCCCGAGGCGCUGAGCCGGCUGCUGGCGGCGCUGGCGGAGCUGGAGCGCUGCCACCGGCGGGCGCAGCCCCCUCAGGCCGCGGGCCCGGCGCUGCUGCGGCUGCAGGCCUGAGGGACGCGCUCCUCCCGGCGCGGCCGGCAAUAAAGGCGCUUUGUACCC